rnacentral:rRNA from 1 species
UACGUAGGGUGCAAGCGUUGUCCGGAAUUAUUGGGCGUAAAGAGCUCGUAGGCGGUCUGUCACGUCGGAUGUGAAAACUCGGGGCUCAACCCCGAGCCUGCAUACGAUACGGGCAGGCUUGAGUUCGGCAGGGGAGACUGGAAUUCCUGGUGUAGCGGUGAAAUGCGCAGAUAUCAGGAGGAACACCGGUGGCGAAGGCGGGUCUCUGGGCCGAUACUGACGCUGAGGAGCGAAAGCGUGGGGAGCGAACAGG